rnacentral:rRNA from 1 species
AUGUUGGCGACAGGAUCAGCGGCCUCCCUGACGAGCUGCUCCACCGCAUCCUGUUCUCCUUGCCGGCGCAGGACGCCGUGCGCACGUGCGUGCUGUCACCAAGGUGGCGCCACCUGGUUGUCCGCACGGCACCUCAAUGUCAGCACUCUGGGGUUCACCGGCGAGGCGAGAUUCGCCCAGUUUGUGAAUAACUUGCUGCUGCGUCGUGGCCAUGCGCCUCUCGACACCUUCUGCCUGCACGCUGAGGGGCCUCACAUUUUGUUUGACAAUAUCCGUGACACUGCCAACCUGUGGAUAUACCAUGCCCUGAGGUGCAAUGUUCAGGCGUUGAGCAUUGCCGACCAUGACCUGUACGAGGAAGGCGAAACAGAAGAUAUUCUUAGAACCUUCCACCCCGACCGUUACUCCUUUACCUCAUCACACUUGAAAAGAUUGCAUCUUCUCUAUGUUUGUGUCAGCAAUUGCCUCAUCAAGCACCUCUUGUCUGGCUGCCCGGCGUUGGAAGACCUAGAGAUGAAUGACUGUGACAUCACUGCCACAGAAUUUUCCUCCACCACAUUGAAGAACUUGAGCAUCAGCACCGUUGGUUUCUCUGUAACAAAAGAUGAGGAAGUUGAUAUUGUUAUAAAUAUGCCUAGUCUAGUCUCACUAUGCAUCGGUGCACUACUCUGUACGAAGCCUUCUUUUAUCAACAUGCGAUCAUUGUUAACAGUCUCCAUUCACUCAGAACAGACAGGGUUUGAAUUUGUUAAUGGCUGCUCUAUUCUUCGUGCUUUUUCGAACGCCAGGAACUUGACACUGCUGCACGUUGGCCCCAUGGUUGGGAAAGAAUUAUUGGGAAAUGAGAUACUAUUCCAUCAAGUAGUGUUCACUAAUUUGACAACUUUGUCUUUGAAUGAAUGGUGUUUGCAUAAUAGCUGCAAAGCACUGCUGUACGUGCUUAGGCACUCACCUAAUUUAGAAAAGCUUACUCUUGGGUUGUCCGAGGUUGGAGCUUUAAUCUAUCGACGUCCCGAGCUUUCAGGAAAUUUUGCUGUGAAAAUAAACCCCUGUUGCAAGGGAACAGAGACACCAUUUUAUUGCCAGAAGCUUAAGAAAAUCAAAAUCACCUGCCCAAAGCAUGAUAAAAGAGUCGGUGUCGUGGUGGCGAUCUUAUGCGCUAACCUUAUCUCUCUCCCAGAAAUAAAUAUCAAGCCAUCUUGA